rnacentral:rRNA from 1 species
GUGCCAGCCGCCGCGGUAAUACGUAGGGGGCAAGCGUUGUCCGGAAUUACUGGGCGUAAAGCGCACGCAGGCGGAAUUGUAAGUCCGUUGUAAAAUUCAGAGGCUCAACCUCUGUCUGUCGGCGGAUACUGCAAAUCUAGAGUAUGUGAGAGGGAAGUGGAAUUCCUGGUGUAGCGGUGAAAUGCGUAGAUAUCAGGAGGAACUCCGGUGGCGAAGGCGACUUCCUGGCACAAGACUGACGCUCAUGUGCGAAAGCUAGGGUAGCGAACGGGAUUAGAUACCCCGGUAGUCCUAGCCGUAAAUGAUGGAUACUAGGUGUGGGUGUCGCAGGGCAUCCGUGCCGCAGUUAACGCGUUAAGUAUCCCGCCUGGGGACUACGGUCGCAAGACUGAAACUCAAAUAAAUUGACGG